rfam:Sorghum bicolor cultivar BTx623 chromosome 9, whole genome shotgun sequence.
GUAGUCGGAUUCACAUCAAUCUACAUGUGUUGAGGUAGAUUGGAGUGGAACUUGAACUAAAUUCCACCCCAAUCUACAUCAACACACAUGGAUUGAAAUGAAUCCGACA